AUGGCUCGGAGUUUAACCGAGAACAAGACCAGAACCGCUCUAUUUGUACUUGUGGUGUUUGGGCUCUGUUCCUUCUUCUACCUCCUUGGUGUAUGGCAAAGAAGUGGCUUUGGGAGAGGGGACAGCAUAGCGGCUGUAGUGAAUGAGCAGACCAAAUGUCUGAAACUGCCAAAUCUGAAUUUUGAGACCCACCAUAGUGCAUCGGAUCUUCCGAACGACACUUUCAGUUCUCAAGUUAAAACUUUUGAGCCAUGUGAUGCGGAGUACACCGAUUACACUCCUUGCGAGGAGCAAAAGCGUGCAAUGACCUUCCCUAGGGAUCACAUGAUAUAUCGGGAGAGGCAUUGCCCACCUGAAAACGAGAAGCUGUACUGUCUGAUUCCAGCACCAAAGGGUUAUGUUGCUCCUUUUCCGUGGCCGAAAAGCCGCGAUUAUGUUUCUUAUGCCAAUGUGCCACACAAGAGUCUUACGGUUGAAAAGGCCAUCCAAAACUGGGUGCACUACGAGGGCAACGUUUUCAGGUUUCCUGGUGGCGGAACACAGUUUCCUCAGGGUGCGGACAAGUAUAUAGACCAGCUUGCUUCUGUUAUCCCAAUUACCGGGGGAGAAGUGAGAACUGCACUCGACACUGGUUGUGGGGUUGCCAGUUUGGGUGCUUACCUGUUGAAGAAAGAUGUUUUGACUAUGUCAUUCGCUCCAAAAGAUAAUCAUGAGGCACAAGUACAGUUUGCACUGGAGAGAGGCGUACCUGCAUAUAUUGGUGUCCUUGGAUCAAUGAAGCUCUCAUUUCCAUCCCGAGUCUUUGACAUGGCACAUUGCUCGAGAUGUUUAAUUCCAUGGAGCGGAAGUAACGGUAUGUACAUGAUGGAAGUUGAUAGGGUACUUAGGCCGGGUGGGUAUUGGGUACUAUCAGGCCCACCCAUUGGUUGGAAAAUUCACUACAAGGGAUGGCAACGGACCAAAGAUGAUCUCCGGAGUGAGCAGAGAAAAAUAGAACAAUUCGCAGAACUUCUUUGCUGGAAGAAGAUAUCUGAGAAGGAUGGUAUUGCUAUAUGGAGAAAGAGAUUAAAUGACAAAUCUUGCCCGAGGAAGCAAGAUAAUUCAAAAGUUGCCAAGUGUGAGUUGACAAGCGAGAGUGAUGUAUGGUAUAAGAAAAUGGAAGCCUGUAUAACUCCGCUUCCUGAGGUUAAAAGCGUGUCAGAGGUUGCUGGUGGUGAACUAGAGCCAUUUCCCCAGAGGCUCAAUGCAGUACCACCUCGGAUAGCCCGUGGUUUUGUACCUGGGUUCUCAGUUCAAACAUAUCAGGAGGACAAUAAACUCUGGCAGAAACAUGUUAAUGCUUACAAGAAAACCAAUGACUUGCUUGAUACUGGAAGGUACCGCAACAUAAUGGACAUGAAUGCAGGUCUUGGUAGCUUUGCCGCUGUACUGGAGUCUCCAAAGCUGUGGGUCAUGAAUGUCGUUCCGUUCAUUGCAGAUACUUCUACUUUAGGUGUAAUCUAUGAGCGAGGAUUAAUAGGAAUGUAUCACGACUGGUGUGAAGGGUUUUCUACUUACCCAAGGACAUAUGACCUCAUACAUGCUAACGGUGUCUUCAGUUUGUACCAGAACAAGUGUAAAUUUGAAGAUAUACUACUGGAAAUGGACCGGAUCUUACGGCCAGAGGGCGCAGUUAUAAUCCGUGACACGGUUGACGCUCUUGUAAAGGUGGAGAAAAUAGCCAAUGCCAUGAGGUGGGAGACAAGACUGGCCGACCAUGAGGGCGGCCCUCGUGUUCCUGAGAAGAUGCUCUUUGCAGUUAAGCAAUACUGGACUGCCGACAGCAAGAGCCGCCGCUAA
rnacentral:rRNA from 1 species